UGCGGUUAAAAAGCUCGUAGUUGGAUUUCUGUUGAGGAUGACCGGUCCGCUCUUUGAGCGCGUAUCUGGUUCAGCCUUGGCAUCCUCUUGGGGAACGCUACUGUGCUUGAUUGCAUGGGGCGGUAUUCAAGACUUUUACUUUGAGGAAAUUAGAGUGUUCACUGCAAGCGUUAGCAAUUGAAUACAUUAGCAUGGAAUAAUAAUAUAGGACCUUGGUACUAUUUUGUUGGUUUCUAGAACUAAGGUAAUGAUUAAUAGGGACAAUUGGGGGCAUUCGUAUUAACGCGUCAGAGGUGGAAUUCUUAGAUUGCGUUACGACGAACUACUGCGAAAGCAUUUGCCAAGGAUGUUUUCAUUGAUCAAGAACGAAAGUAUGGGGAUCGAAGACGCUUAGAUACCGUCGUAGUCUAUACCAUAAACUAUGCCAACUAGAGAUUGGAGGUCGUUCUCUUUAUGACUCCUUCAGCACCUUAUGAGAAAUCAAAGUCUUUGGGUUCCGGGGGGAGUAUGGUCGCAAGGCUGAAACUUAAAGGAAUUGACGGAAGGGCACCACCAGGAGUGGAGCCUGCGGCUUAAUUUGACUCAACACGGGAAAACUUACCAGGUCCAGACAUAGUAAGGAUUGACAGAUUGAUAGCUC
rnacentral:rRNA from 1 species